GUUGACCUCGGAUCAGGUAGGAAUACCCGCUGAACUUAAGCAUAUCAAUAAGCGGAGGAAAAGAAACCAACAGGGAUUGCCCCAGUAACGGCGAGUGAAGCGGCAACAGCUCAAAUUUGAAAUCUGGCCCCAGGCCCGAGUUGUAAUUUGCAGAGGAUGCUUUUGGCGCGGUGCCUUCCGAGUUCCCUGGAACGGGACGCCAUAGAGGGUGAGAGCCCCGUACGGUUGGACACCAAGUCUUUGUAAAGCUCCUUCGACGAGUCGAGUAGUUUGGGAAUGCUGCUCAAAAUGGGAGGUAUAUUUCUUCUAAAGCUAAAUAUUGGCCAGAGACCGAUAGCGCACAAGUAGAGUGAUCGAAAGAUGAAAAGCACUUUGAAAAGAGGGUUAAACAGCACGUGAAAUUGUUAAAAGGGAAGCGCUUAUGACCAGACUUGCGCCCGGUGAAUCACCCAGCUCUCGCGGCUGGGGCACUUUGCCGGCUCAGGCCAGCAUCAGCUCGCUGUCGGGGACAAAAGCUUCGGGAACGUAGCUCUCUUCGGGGAGUGUUAUAGCCCGUUGCACAAUACCCUUCGGCGGGCUGAGG
rnacentral:rRNA from 1 species